rnacentral:rRNA from 1 species
CAAGGCCGGUCAUCCAGUCGUUGCAAUGAAUCAGAUCCGGUUUCACAUGGCGGAUGAUGCGGUUGAUAACCUCCCGCUGGAACGCCAGGGCGAUGCGUGGAUUCUCCCCGCGAUAGCUGGAGUAAACUUCGUCCCGGUAGUAGAACAAUCUGUCCUCUGCCAAGUGGAUGCGUUCCUCUGGCAGCUUCUGACGCAUCUUUGUCAGCUCUCGGCUGAGCAAAUUAUAGACAUCCGUAUGGAACAUCUGCCG